rnacentral:rRNA from 1 species
AGUGAACGCUGGCGGUAGGCCUAACACAUGCAAGUCGAACGGCAGCACAGUAAGAGCUUGCUCUUACGGGUGGCGAGUGGCGGACGGGUGAGGAAUACAUCGGAAUCUACUUUUUCGUGGGGGAUAACGUAGGGAAACUUACGCUAAUACCGCAUACGACCUACGGGUGAAAGCAGGGGAUCUUCGGACCUUUCGCGAUUGAAUGAGCUGAUGUCGGAUUAGCUAGUUGGCGGGGUAAAGGCCCACCAAGGCGACGAUCCGUAGCUGGUCUGAGAGGAUGAUCAGCCACACUGGAACUGAGACACGGUCCAGACUCCUACGGGAGGCAGCAGUGGGGAAUAUUGGACAAUGGGCGCAAGCCUGAUCCAGCCAUACCGCGUGGGUGAAGAAGGCCUUCGGGUUGUAAAGCCCUUUUGUUGGGAAAGAAAAGCAGCAGGUGAAUACCCCGCUGUUCUGACGGUACCCAAAGAAUAAGCACCGGCUAACUUCGUG